UACGGGGGGGGCAAGCGUUGUUCGGAAUUACUGGGCGUAAAGGGGACGUAGGCGGCCAACUAAGUCAGACGUGAAAUCCCUCAGCUUAACUGGGGAACUGCGUCUGAUACUGGAUGGCUUGGAUUCGGGAGAGGAAUGCGGAAUUCCAGGUGUAGCGGUGAAAUGCGUAGAUAUCUGGAGGAACCCCGGUGGCGAAGGCGGCAUUCUGGACCGAUAUUGACGCUGAGGAGCGAAAGCCAGGGGAGCAAACGGG
rnacentral:rRNA from 1 species